UCCAUACAACUGGCGGAUUGGUGGAGUAUACCACAGGGAGUAUGGAAGAAUUGUACGUCGACCGCCUGGGCAGCC
rnacentral:ncRNA from 1 species